AGGUUUAAAGACAUCAUCGGUCCCUUCAACUGCUCUUUGCUUGUGGUUAGAGAGCAAGUCUUUGCAAGCCAGCAGAUGAUGGGACUUUGAUUUCCUGUGUGUCAUUAUUUAUUUUGAAAACUGAUACGCAGAAUUUUGCUGUUCCAGUAAAGCCUCUGCUGAGGUGGUGAAAUCAGCCUGGAUCGUGCCCUGCCAGCGGCCUGGGGUUUCUUACCCUGUGCCCCCAUGCAUGUGACAAGGAGGUUUGGCCAGAGCCGGCAGCCUCUGUGGGCCGGGUACUACGCUCUUCCUCACACCUGGCUUCCCCUGCUGAGUUUCUUGGAAGUGCCCAUUGCAGGAAUGUGGGGUGGUUCUUGUGUUGUGCUACAGACCAGAGGAUGUUGAUCAGGGCGCGGGUGUCAUGUCCUGUUUCCAAAGCAUCCACAAAGAGCUUGGAAAUCCUCUCCCCGAACUCCACGUUGUCGCUGCAGCCUCCCCAGACCCAGCCGCGGCCACCUGCAAGACAGAUGUGUGGUAAGAACAGAACCACCCUGACGGAGUGAAUCCUGCCCCAGGACUCGCACUGAGCUGAGGGCUGGGAUGAUGCCAGCCCGUCUUGUUGCCAGCUCAGAGGGGCUGGAGCCCAGCCGUGGCAGGCAGCACACCGGCAGCUCACCGACGCGCCCGUUCCUGGAGUCGUCGCAGCCGCAGCUCUCGAAGUCGCCCAUGCUGCAGUUCCUGGUCAGGGUGUACAUGACGCCGGCGGAGCUGAUGGCGUGCACGAAGGACGUCUCUCUGGUAGCUGGGGGAGAGGAGAAAAAAGCUGUCACAUGCAAACGUACGCACUGGUCCUGGUUUAUUGGGAAGGGAGCUCUCUUGUGAAACCUUCAGCGUUGCAAAGGUGCAAGAAGAGAAUAACAAAACAGUUUGUGCAAAAGGUGCCUCUAGCACUGUGCUCCCUGAGAUGCGGCACAAAAGCAGCAGGAGCGAGCCCACGGACCAGCACUGCAGAAAAGGCUCUCCCUUAGCACGGAUAAAGAUCAUAGAGAAAAUAUUAGCAUCAUUUGUGAGACCAAUUAAUGCAGAUGGAGAAAAGCCAGCCUGGUAUCUGAGGGACAGAAAACCUCCCCAUCGGCUGGCUGCUCUCUUCAGAGCACCCCCCGUCUCCUGUCGGAGGCACCCUGUGGGCACUCACCGCUGCGCAGGCGGUUGUGCGUUGAGAGCUGCAGCGCGCUCUCGGGGCAGUUCCAGCGCUCCCACCCGAACUGGAACUUGCACUCCUCCAUCCCGCUCUGCGCGCCCGCCGCCACGCUGCUGGAGUAUGUCAGGUACGCCUGCAUGGGAAAGCGUGGGUGAGAUCCUCAGCACUUCAGCUUUUAUCCAUGAAAACAGAGCCAGAAGGGUUGUGGGUCCUUUUCCUUGUUACUCAACCCGGUUUGGAGCCGAUACGCUCUGGGAGCUCUGGUUCUUUAGAAAAGCAAUAUUUCCCAUUUGCAAAACAAAAUGGCUUUACUUAAAUUGCUGAUAGUGACUGUGUUAAUUACCUUAGGUCCUGUCAUCAGAAAGUUGUUCACAGACCUGAAACGAAGAGAAGGAAACGAGUCGCACGAUUUAACACAGGCUCAAGAGCAUCCCCCAGGAAUGCCCCUUCUGCUGAAUCCUACCAUGCUGCUGCGUUGAAAAUGACACCGCAGAUGCCCAUGAUGGAGAGGAUGAGGAAGGUGGUGCUGCUCAUGGCUGUCAAAGCCCAGGAGUUGGAUCCCUCUGGCUGAUCCGCAGCUCCCACGCCGCAGGUCUCUGGGCAGGGCCGCCUCGCCGCACCGAGUCCCAACGUAUCUCGAGAUAUUCGGGUCCAGGAAAGCUGCAGGAACCUACAACCCUGAUAUUUAUAAGGUGAAGUUCUGAAUAGUCAAAACCCCCCAUUCAUUUGCUACCCAAUGACUUAAUGUGGUAAAAAAGCUCCUGCGCCAAUGGGUGACAAGGAAACGCCUAAUGUUGCACUUCAAAAGGCAGAGCGGUGUCACCGGGAGCUGUGAUGAUGUGAGGAGAGCAAACUUCCCUAACAAUGGGCGACUUUUAACUCCACUCCACACCAGCGCCAUCCCUUUCUCUCUGCCCCAAGUGCACUUGCCUUCUCCCUUUCACACCCCGCUUGCGAGCAGAGGCCGGGCCCCUGCGUGCCCAGCAAUAACAAACCCGUGCAUUUCUAUGGUUCCCCUGCCAGCCGCCUGCUCCCUACCAGGAGAGCUCCCCGAGGAGUUUUAGCAGCACUCCUCUACAGAUCCACCGGGGGUAGACCUCCCAGGUCUUCUCGAUUUGACGAGAUUCGUUUAACGGCGAUUUUUUUCCCCCCUCCUCGCCUCCUUAGGAUGAAAGCUUCUGUAUUUCCAUCCUGAUAACAACAGCGUGCACGGCGCAGGAGUGUUUGGAAAUCUCUCUAAUUUACGCGGCUGCAGCUUGGGAACACUGUGUGAAUCACUUAUGUGGUUUGCUCCAUGCUUCAACGCUGUAAUUAGGGGAACAGUUUUCCGGGGGUAGCAAUUUCCCUGCAGUGAGGUCUGCCCCGGCAGCGGCCGGGCUCUGGCUGGCUCCGCGCACAUGAGCACUGCUGAGAGCCGAGCGAGGGCCUCGGCCCCUCUGCUUCAUACCCCUGCGCUUGGGAGGGGAAAAUCCUUAUCAGAGGAAACCCCAAAAAGCCUCUCUUAUGGUCAUCCAUGUGUUAUAUGUCAAUAUUACUUAUCAAUGGUUAUGGUCAUGCAUAAUCGUUGUGGUACAUCCUUUAGGCUGUAAGGGAGCAGAAGCGAGACUUUGUUCCUGGAAACUUCUCGUUUUGUUUUCCUGGGGCUGCGCAGGGCUCGUCCUUGUCCCACUGCUCUCGUUAUCCCAUCGAGACGGUGACAUCUGGUCUCCUGCUGCUAAUAGCUGUAACUGCAAGGUGAGGCACUGAGGGCCUGCAGCCUGGACGUUUCAGCAGCUUGGAUUGUACCACACACUGCUGUGCUGGCCGGGGGCAGAGGAGCCAGCAGGAAUAAAGACUUAUGCCACAAACGUGAUUGCAAAGUGCUCUGUGGGCUGCCGCGAAAUGCGUGCGAGCACGGUGAGCAGCUGCAUGGUUUUCCACAUCCUGGCUCUGGGUGCCCGAGGCCCUGCACACACACAGCCUCGGCUCCAUCCCAUCAGCUCUGUGACAUUUCUGACCUCGGGGAGCACAGGGACCCCCCCCGCCCUGCUCCCCGUGUCGGUCAGUGGGCGAGAGGAACCUCCCCGGCCAGCCCACGCAGAAGGGAAACCUGGAGUCAGCGCGGCAAAGCCACAAACAACUGUUUGCAGUCAGAGGAUUAAAAAUGCAGAUCGGUUCAGAAGCAGGGAUGCAAAAUACCUUCCAAGUGAGCACCACGCUGGUGUACUCCUGCCAGCACGGCAAAACCCUCUGUGAGUCAGCAUUUUAAUCAUUACCAUCCUGAGCAGAUCCUGCUUGUUAGAGCUGUCAAAGGACAAUUACUGGGAAUGAAGUGUUUCCCAUGUAUCAGUGAGGUUCAUUGAUUAAAGCCCAUGCAUAUGACUUGGAAAUCUGCUGUGCAUUUUCUCUGUGCAUGCAUGUCAUUUUGGGGUUUGUGUCUGGCUGUCCCCGGGGGCAUAUUGGUGGUUGUGUUUUAUUUUUUUUU